AUUGAACGCUGGCGGCAGGCCUAACACAUGCAAGUCGAACGAGUGGCGGACGGGUGAGUAAUGUCUGGGAAACUGCCUGAUGGAGGGGGAUAACUACUGGAAACGGUAGCUAAUACCGCAUACCAUCGGAUGUGCCCAGAUGGGAUUAGCUAGUAGGUGGGGUAAAGGCUCACCUAGGCGACGAUCCCUAGCUGGUCUGAGAGGAUGACCAGCCCAACUGGAACUGAGGAACGGGCCAGACUCCUACGGGGGGCAGCAGUGGGGAAUAUUGCACAAUGGGCGGAAGCCUGAUGGAGCCAUGCCGCGUGGAUGAAGAAGGCCUUCGGGUUGGAAAGUACUUUCAGCGGGGAGGCGGUACCCGCAGAAGAAGCACCGGCUAACUCCGUGCCAGCCGCCGCGGUAAUAC
rnacentral:rRNA from 1 species